CGUAGCAGCUGAUCAUUGUCUUCUAGGAAGUUUCUCGCAAGAUGUCGGGGGGUAUUUUACGUGACAAGCCGCUAGUAUGCUUUUGGACGAUAUGACUUGCUCUCUACGAUGCAUGUCUACAAAAUUCCGGCCUAUAUUAAAUCCCAGAGGGCUGUAAUAUUGUUGAAAUAAAAAUUGUUAAUUUUAACUAUUCCUACAACAUUGAAAAAUAGAAAAACUAGGACUAUUUGUAAGAACUGUGUCAGUGCGUGUAUCACUGCCAAGACCAAUUAUUUGGAAUAUUAAUUUUUGAUGUGAUUACGAAAUAGAAUUUUUAUAUUGGACAAAACUACUUUUACUACAAUUGAAAACAACAUUACCAUUAUUUAAAGUUGGGAUGGGAGCUAAAGCAAGUACGGUGGCACAAUCUGCUGGAGGCAAUGGACAAUCCUCUACUGGAGCAAAUGAGGCUGCAAUGCAAGGAUUUUCUAUGCUUCGCUCUCUUCCUGGAGGUGUUAGCAUGUUACAACAUCAACAUCAGCAAGGAAAUCAAUCACAAACCUCUCGAGUAUCUGGAGAUAGCAGACAGCGUGCUCGUUCCUUAAGUUCAGUACCAGACCUCUCUUCUGGUGAACAAAGCAGUCUUGCUUCUUCAGUUGGAGUUGGAGUUGGUCAAACAUUAGGUCUACCCCAACUUGACUCGGAUGAACCUGAGGAAGAUAGUGGUCGAGUAUAUGCAGCCCAUAGCUUACCUUCUCAUAUUUGGUCUCUUAAUGGUCUAAAAUGUCCCGUUUGUUCCAAAUUUAUUCUGCCAGAUGAUAUAGAAUGUCACCUGGUCAUGUGUUUAACCAAGCCACGUCUUAGUUAUAAUGAAGACAUAUUAUCCGAUGAGAAAGGUGAAUGUGUUAUUUGCCUUGAAGAAUUGCAACCUGGUGAUGUUAUAGCCCGCUUACCUUGCCUUUGUAUAUAUCACAAAAAUUGUAUUGAUAGAUGGUUUCAAGUGAAUCGUAGUUGCCCUGAACAUCCUGGGGAUUGAUUUAUACCCUUUGAACUUAGAAAAGCACAAUGUAACUUGUUAAUUCUGAAGACUCUCAUCUUAUUGGGAACGAAGUCGGAAGAAAUGGAAAAAAAAUAAAAAGCUAGUCAAGAUGACUGCUAGUCAUCAUGGUGGUUGGUGUACGCGACUGACUGAAUGAGACAUACUCAAUUUGAACGUGAAAGCAAACAUUUAAUUAAAUCCUUGAUUAUAUUAUCUGUAAGCAGGGGACUUAAAAAAUCGCCAUAAGAUUCAACGACACUCAGUGCUAAUAUAAGCUAGAAGGUCUCUAAGGAUGGAAUGUAAUUUAGUAUCAAUUACAAGUUAGUUAUUUCAUAAUUAAUAUCUUUUUUAUAUGAUAAGUGUUAAUAUAACUCAUAGUAGUUUUUAUAACAGAAAUAAAUAUGGUCUGUCAAUUUUCCAGUAAUAUACGCAUUGUAUACAUCUGGAUUGAACUUGUAUCAUACAAGAUAAAAAGUCUAAUAAAGUGAAAAUUUCAAACCAAA
rnacentral:misc_RNA from 1 species